rnacentral:rRNA from 12 species
ACUCCCAACAACGAAUGUCUUGGCUCUCGCAACGAUGAAGAACGCAGCGAAAUGCGAUACGUAGUGCGAAUUGCAGGAUUCAGUGAAUCAUCAAAUCUUUGAACGCAUCUUGCGCUUUCAGGCUUCUGGAAGCAUCUCUGGUUGAGUGC